GUUUUGGGGUACAUGUGAAGAACAUGCAAGAUUGUUGCAUAGGUACACACGUGCCAGUGUGAUUUGCUGCCUUCCUCCCCUUCACCUAUAGCUGGCAUUUCUCCCUGUGCUAUCUGUCCCCAACUCCCCACCCUGCACUGCCCCUCCCCUAUUUCCCCCUAACAGACCCCAGUGUGUAGUGCUCCCCUCCCUUUGCCCAUGUGUUCUCAUUGUUCAUGAUAAGUAUUCUUUAAGAGAAUUCCUUAAGACUCAUAGAGGAGAAGACAGACAGAAGAGGAGGAGGCAGUGUGACCACAGAGGCUAAGACUGAAAUGAUGUGGCACAAGUCAAGAAAUACCUGUAGUGACAGAAGCUGGAAGAAGUAAAGUAUGGAUUCUCUCCUAGAGCCUCCAAAGAAAGUGUGGUCCUGAGGACAUCUGUUCUCCAUAACUGUUGGCUCAUUUGUGAUUGCUUCUUCAUGACAUGCUGGAAGCUGCAUGCAUUUUCUAAAGCAAUACUGUGUCUCUAAGGGUAUCCUCAAAAGACAACUGCAAGAGGAGCGCAUCCGUGGCACAACUUUGAUUGGUUCACAUGAUCGUUCGCUCUGCCUGAAAGUAGAUAUGACAUGAGAUUAAGUGUGGAAGAAGUGUGUGGGUCCACAUUGAACAUCUAUAGAUUUUCACAGUGGCACGUGGGUCAGAUGGGCUCUCCUCUGUUACGACCUACUUUUGAUGUGUCAUCUUUCACCACAAAGCCCAGAAAGAUGAUUGCUACAGUUUCUCAACUUGACAACACGACUUGCAGUUCCUUCAGUUGAUAUAUCCUCACUUGGAGCUGACAAAUUCUGCUCACGGAUUGGCUAGGACAGAUGUGUUCCUAGUUUCUACAGACAAAUUUGCAUUUCUGUUAACAUGUUCAUCAAAGAAAGAAGUCAACUGGUAAUGUUAAGUUCUAUGUUGUUCCAGUGAAAUGAAUGGUAAGAAAACAUAAUAAUUUGCUUAAGUUAAAUCGAUGUAGCACACUGGUAGUAAUGACCAACAGGUUACUAAUGCCUCACUUCUGAGUUUUAAUUGAUUUACUUGGCUGGAAUUUUAAUCGUAAUCAUGACAACUUUAAUAAAACAUGCUUGAAUUGCA
rnacentral:lncRNA from 13 species